rnacentral:rRNA from 1 species
CCUACGGGAGGCAGCAGUGGGGGAUAUUGCACAAUGGGGGAAACCCUGAUGCAGCGACGCCGCGUGUGGGAAGACGGUCUUCUGGAUUGUAAACCACUGUCCCCAGGGACGAAAAUGACGGUACCUGGGGAGGAAGCUCCGGCUAACUACGUGCCAGCAGCCGCGGUAAUACGUAGGGAGCAAGCGUUGUCCGGAAUUACUGGGUGAAAAGGGAGCGUAGGCGGGGAUGCAAGUUGGGUGUCAAAACUACCGGCUCAACCGAUAGUCGCACUCAAAACUGCAACUCUUGAGUGAAGUAGAGGCAGGCGGAAUUCCUAGUGUAGCGGUGAAAUGCGUAGAUAUUAGGAGGAACACCAGUGGCGAAGGCGGCCUGCUGGGCUUUUACUGACGCUGAGGCUCGAAAGUGUGGGGAGCAAACAGGAUUAGAUACCCCAGUAGUC